AUGAAAAUCAAUUUUGGUAUGAAUUAAUGCAAUCAAGAUCUUUUAAUUAGGGAUGGAUCAAGUGAGGAAACUCUAGCAUUUUGAUCAAGCACAAGAACCCGCUCAUACCCAGAUAGCGGUGGUGCUGCCAACCCACGAGAGAUGGCCUACUCAAAGCAGUGGCUCACGCCAUCCUAGCCUACACUUUUAGCUUCAUCAAAAUCGCGCUAGGGAGUUGCCGGGAACUCAAAUCGUUUGAUAGCUAACUUUUGGAUGAGGAUAACAAUGAAGCUUCUUCGUUGAUGAUGCAACGAAGCAUUGAACUGUGGAUAAAUCUUUGAGUUUUUGGCGUUUCAACGAGAUUAGAACUUUUGUUGAUGAAAUCCAAAUUUUUUGAUGAUGAGGUCUAGCUCGUGGCUUCAUUUUUCGGCUAAAGAACAAAGAUAAUGCAGCAUUUUGCUUGACUUGCCAUGGAAGGAAGAUCCAGAGUCUGGUGUCUGGAUUGAAGAGCUAUCCUCGUAAUGAAUUAUUACAUUACUCUCUUUCUCUCUUGUUUCUCAAGCAUGACAUCCAUGGCGGCUUCUUCUUCUCAAUCCUUUUGUUCUUUGAUUCCCAGAACUGUUCUUCUUGUUUCCGUCGUGGUGUUUCUUUUUCCAUUGCAACCAGAGGCUCUGAAAUCGCCGUUUUCCCCUAUCGACAUGCUUCCAUUACUUCCCAGACAGGUCUCAUGGCCGAUUCUCAACUAUCUCAACAACGCCGACGAUCUUCUUCCGACUUUCGUCGGAGCUGUCUCCUCUCCUGAUAAGUCUAUUCAAUGGCAAGGGGCUUGCUUCGAUAAGAACACCGCUUGGCUUGAAUUUCAUAACAAUUCCGGCUCUGAAUUUGGCGGUGGUACGCUUCAUAUAAAGGCUAGCAAUGCACAUAGUUGGACGUGUAUGGAUCUUUAUAUCUUUGCAACGCCGUAUCGUGUGACGUGGGACUACUAUUUCUUUUCCAGAGAACAUACUCUUGAGUUUACAGAAUGGGAAGGAAAACAAGAAUUUGAAUACGUUGAAGAGGCAGGGGUUACAAUUUUCCUCUUGCAAGCUGGGGUAUUGAGAACCCUUCAAGCAUUGUUCGAUGUCCUCCCUUUGUUUGCAAAUUCGGACUGGGGCGAGCAAUCUAAUAUUAAGUUUCUUGAGAAUCACAUGGGUACUACCUUUAAGGAACAUCGUCCCCCAUGGACUACAAGUGUUAAUGUUGAUGAUAUUCACUCUGGAGAUUUCUUAGCAUUAUCCAAAUUUCGUGGUCCGUGGGGUGCGUUUGAGACUCUACAGAAGUGGGUUACUGGUUCAUUUGCUGGUCAUUCUGCUGUUUGCUUAAGGGAUUCUGAAGGAAACUUGUGGGUUGCUGAAUCUGGGCGUGGAACUGGAGUGGAGGAUGAUAUUAUUGAUGUUUUACCAUGGGAUGAGUGGUGGAACUACGAACUCAACAACGAUUCAUCCAAUCCCCACAUUGCAUUUCUUCCUUUGCAUCCUGAUUUGAGGGCGAAGUUGAAUGAGACUGCUGCGUGGGAGUAUGUAAGGAGCAUGGUUGGGAAACCAUAUGGUUAUCAUAAUUUGAUAUUUAGCUGGAUCGACACCAACCAUGGAAACUAUCCACCUCCCUUGGAUGCCCAUCUGGUUGCUUCUGCUAUGACAAUAUGGACACAAGUGAGGCCAACCCUUGCGGCAAACUUGUGGAAUGAAGCUUUAAACAUACGACUUGGAACAAAGGGCCUUGACCUUCCUGAGAUUCUAGUUGAGGUUGAAAAGCAAGGGUCAUCUUUUGGCGAACUACUGGCUAUUCCUGAACAGGAUGACUGGACCUAUGCUGACGGGAAAUCAGCAUCGUGUGUUGCUUUUAUCCUUGAAAUGUACAAGGCGGCUGGGCUUUUUGGUCCACUUUCUAGCACAAUACAAGUCACAGAGUUCACAAUAAAAGAUGCAUACACUCUCAACUUUUUUGAAAACAAUUCAAGCCGCCUUCCGAAGUGGUGUAAUGGUGGGGACGAUGUCAAGCUUCCAUAUUGUCAGAUUCUUGGAAAGUAUCGAAUGUAUUUACCGGGAUAUAAUAGCAUUGAGCCCUAUCAACAUAUGAAUGAAAGGUGCCCUUCUCUUCCAACCAAGUACUACCGUCCAAAGAAUUGCUAGAAACGUCUUAUGUCUUGAUGAUUUCAGUUGUUACAGUAUUGAUUUUCUUGUAGCCUUCUAAGUUUUUGCAUAUCUGAAGCAAUAUGUUGGAACGUGUAGCACACAAUGUUGCUUCAGUUCUGUUCCAAUUUGUCAUUCCUAUAGAAAAUUCAAAUAAGGUAUAGAUCUCUCCCUCUUUCUCUCUUAAACAGAAAUUAGGUUACAUUAACUUUUUUCUGUACCUAUUGAAAAUUAAGCAUACCUAUAAAGUUGUAGUUAGAUGUUUGAUAAAUUUCAGUGAAAUCAGCUGUUCAUAUUUAUUGAGCUUCUAUUCGAUCAGGCUCUGUGAAAUAACCUGCAUAUGCCAAUUAUGGAAUAUAGUUUUUUGCAUUGACAAUGAACACCCUUAGUAUCAACUUAUUUGUGCAUUUUAGAUUUUGAAUUUGGUAUUUGAUGGCAUGGAUGUACAAUGCAACAGCUCAAGCCCACCGCUAGACCGUUAGCAGAUAUUGUCUUCUUCGGGUUUUUCCUUCUAGGCUUCUCCUCGAGGUUUUUAAAAGCGUCUGUUAGGGAGAGAUUUCUACACUCUUAUAAAGAAUGUUUCAUUCUUCUCCUCAACCAACGUGGGAUCUCACAAAUCAAGCCUCUGGUUCGUAUCUCUCAUCAAAAGGGUCUCGAAAAGUGGCUUUACAAGCCCUCCAUGUGUUUCUCACCUUGCAGCUAGAAAUGAGCUUCUCAAAGGUUCACCAGAUGUUGAUCUGGUCCGUUCAGCAACUAGGAAGGAGGUGAUUUUUGCCUUCUUGUUUUUUUUUUCUUAAUUACAUCUCUAAACUAUGUAAUUCUGAGUACUUAGAAGUAAUUAUAAACAUUUUUU